rnacentral:snoRNA from 1 species
AGACAGUGAUGAAAACCUGAGCAUCAAAGGACCUUCCAGUCUGCUUUGAUGUAUGAUCGACAUAGUUGGGAGA